UACGUAGGCAGCGAGCGUUGUUCGGAGUUACUGGGCGUAAAGGGUGCGUAGGCGGCGCGGUAAGUCGGGUGUGAAAUCUUGGAGCUUAACUCCGAAACUGCAUUCGAUACUGCCGUGCUUGAGGACUGGAGAGGAGACUGGAAUUUACGGUGUAGCGGUGAAAUGCGUAGAUAUCGUAAGGAAGACCAGUGGCGAAGGCGGGUCUCUGGACAGUUCCUGACGCUGAGGCACGAAGGCCAGGGGAGCAAACGGG
rnacentral:rRNA from 1 species